UACGAAGGGGCUAGCGUUGUUCGGAUUUACUGGGCGUAAAGCGCACGUAGGCGGCUUGUUAAGUCAGGGGUGAAAUCCCAGAGCUCAACUUCUGGAACUGCCUUUGAUACUGGCAAGCUAGAGUCCGGAAGAGGUAAGUGGAACUCCUAGUGUAGAGGUGGAAUUCGUAGAUAUUAGGAAGAACACCAGUGGCGAAGGCGGCUUCUGGUCCGGAACUGACGCUGAGGUGCGAAAGCGUGGGGAGCAAACAGG
rnacentral:rRNA from 1 species